GUCGCAUGAUCUUUAUGCCAAAGAUUUAUCGCUUCAAGAUGGCCUCGCGUCUGAUUAGCUAGUUGGCGGGGUAACGGCCCACCAAGGCGACGAUCAGUAGCCGGACUGAGAGGUUGAACGGCCACAUUGGGACUGAGAUACGGCCCAGACUCCUACGGGAGGCAGCAGUGGGGAAUAUUGGGCAAUGGGCGCAAGCCUGACCCAGCAACGCCGCGUGAAGGAAGAAGGCUUUCGGGUUGUAAACUUCUUUUAAGAGGGAAGAGCAGAAGACGGUACCUCUAGAAUAAGCCACGGCUAACUACGUGCCAGCAGCCGCGGUAAUACGUAGGUGGCAAGCGUUGUCCGGAUUUACUGGGUGUAAAGGGCGUGCAGCCGGGUCUGCAAGUCAGAUGUGAAAUCCAUGGGCUCAACCCAUGAACUGCAUUUGAAACUGUAGAUCUUGAGUGUCGGAGGGGCAAUCGGAAUUCCUAGUGUAGCGGUGAAAUGCGUAGAUAUUAGGAGGAACACCAGUGGCGAAGGCGGAUUGCUGGACGAUAACUGACGGUGAGGCGCGAAAGUGUGGGGAGCAAACAAGAUUAGAUACCCUGGUAGUCCACACUGUA
rnacentral:rRNA from 1 species